AUUCUAAAUCAAGAUCCAUUAUAACAAGGAUUGAAAU
rnacentral:other from 1 species